rnacentral:rRNA from 1 species
CCUACGGGACGCAGCAGUGAGGAAUAUUGGUCAAUGGGCGGGAGCCUGAACCAGCCAAGUCGCGUGAAUGAAGAAGGUCCUUAGUAUUGUAAACUUCUUUUGUCGGGGAACAAAGGCGGAGACGCGUCUCCGGAUGAGUAUACCCGAAGAAACAGCAUCGGCUAACUCCGUGCCAGCAGCCGCGGUACUACGGAGGAUGCGAGCCUUAUCCGGUUUUAUUUGGUUUAAAGGGUGCGCAGGUGGGAGAUCAUGUCAGCGGUAAAAUGUCGGGGCUCAGCCCCGGCCGGCCGUUGCAAUUG